rnacentral:lncRNA from 12 species
UGUCACAUCCUGUCUGACUCUUCAUUUCCAGUAGGGUCUCUGAAUCCUCACACUGCUCCAGUGGGAGAAAGCAUCACAUUUCAUUGUUCACAUUUCCUAGCUGAUGGAAACAUCAAAUAUUUCUGCAGAGACUCUUGUGUGGGUGAUAAUAUUCUCAUUCGAUCAGAGAUAGGAGAGAAUCCGACUGGCACAGGUAGAUACACUCUGUCUGAUGAAGGAUCAGACUUCACCGUGACCAUCACUGACCUGCGGUUAUCAGACUCUGGCACUUACAUCUGCGCAGUAGACAGAUUUUUUAAAGACACUUACAACUAUGUAACUCUACAUGUGAUUGAGGUUUCUACGUUAACACCUGUUCCAACAAGUGCAUCCAGACCUCCUAGAAGAAGAACAACUACAGAUAUAACCGAGAAUAAGAGAACAUCAGUGAUGAAGCGGUCAACUGUCAACACUUCGCCAAAAACCAUGAGCAGAUCAGCACUGUUUGAUCCUAUGGUUCUUGUUGGUGCUGCCCUUGGUGCUCUGGUGCUGAUUUGUACAGUCAUCUUCUUCAUACUUAUCAAACUAAAGCAGAAGAGACGCUCCUCCAGUUUGACAUCGUCUGCACAUCAACCUGAUUUUCUGAUUUAUACCACACCGAAUGUCACUGCACAAACAGACAGUCUGAACUAUUCCUCUGUGAAGUUUAUCAAAGAACCCAACUGCAGUGUGAAGACCAAUGAAAUGUUUGAAAUGAACCCGAAUGAAGGGGUAGAAACCCUUUAUUCAUCUGUUCAAACUCAACACCAUUCAGGCAUCUUUGAUCCAAACUCAAUAAUCUAUUCCAUUGUUCAUAAAGGACAGUAGAUGAGGUCGAUUUGACAAGUGCACUUUUAAUGUAUAGUUCAAAUGUCUUUCUGUUGUUGUCCAUGCUUUACUGCAGAGGUUCUCAACUCUGGCACUCGAGGUCCAUGUUCCUGCAGAGUUUAGGUCCAACCUUGAUCAAACUCACCCGUCUGUAACUUUCUAGCAAUCCUGAAGCCCGUUGAUUAUGGCUUGUUCAUGUAUGUUUGAUUAGAGUUGGAGUUAAACUCUGCAGGAAAGUGGACCUUGAGAAACCUAUACAGAAUACAAGACAGAGGUGUUUGCUAGAAAGAUUUCAUGUCUACAUUAAUAUUUUUUAUACAGUGCAAGUCAGCUAAAUGUCCUUCAGAUUGUGAGUCAGUAUAUGGCACUUCCCCACAGUCAGUUACAGGGUAUUUAAAGGUGAAGUAUGUAAUUUUUAGAUACUGAAGUAUACUUUCAUAUCCUGUUAUCAUGCAGAAGUAAGCCAAGUCUUACAUUUUUCAUAAAUGUCAAAAUGUGCACUUUUCCAAGUUGGAGAACUGUAAAUAGACAAAGGAGUAAACCCCUAAGAGUAAAUAUUAGUAACAAUUUAAUUCUUAUAUGAUUUAUGAAAGACCAUACACUUGAGUUACUUUUACCUAUAUGGUGAAAAGUCAUGAUCAUAGUGUUAUAACAUAGUAGUGUCUGAAAUGGUUCAUAACAUUUUUUUAACUAAAAUAUAGGGUAUAAAUUACAAAAUGGACAAUAGAUGCUUUUCUUACAACUUCAUUGUAUAUAUAGUUCAUUAUUAAGCACAAGAAGCAAAACAAGUGUCUUUAGGACAGUUCAGUUUUAAUAUAUGUUUAUAUCAUUCAGUAAGACUAUGGAAGCAUUAUAAUUAUGUAAUAUUUAGUACCUCCAAAUUGCUUGUCCUUGUUGCUUGAUCGUAUAUUAUCCCUAAAAGUCACAAUGAUUUAUUCUCAUUGCAUUGUAUAACAAAAUAUAAACAUUAAGCAUUUAUAUUCAAGACACAAUUUAAUGACAAUUAUGAAAAGUGCAUUUAGAGAAAUGUAAUGUGAUGCUCUCUGCAAACACUAUGCAAAUACUCUCUGAGACCACAUGAAAGCAUAAUAACACUAACACAAUCUUAAUGUGAUACUCACAUUAAGCUUAAAAUGUCAAGAUAUCAUCAUGUAGUGAUGAAUUUGGUAAGAAAAGAGGAAGGGGAAGGAGAAGUUAAGCAUUGCAUCAUAUACAUGUCAGCACGGAAGACAAAAAAGUCUGUUUUUAAGGGUUUAAUUUAGUCAA